CAUUGAUCUGUUUGUCACCCUGCAGAUCGCCAGGGUUGAGCCAGCUGAUCUGGCUGGCUAGGUGAGAUUCCUCUACCUUCCUCCUUGUACCAUGUUUAUUCCACCCAGAAGUGGUGUGCUUGGUGGAAGAGAACAACCACCUCAGAUCAAAGGAGUGCACUGUUCUUUGGUCAAGGAUAUUUUUCUA